GCUGAUUCACUUAUACUCAUUCUAAAUUCUUUCUCAUUCUAAAUCCGUAGUGUCACCAUAUACACCUAUAACAUGUUUAAACGGACUUAAGAAGACAGACUUUUCGCUGCACAAACUAAACAUUUCCUUUUGGUCCCACUCGGCAAAACGUUAACACUGAAGUUCCAGAAAGACUUAAUUCACAAUUCUGCUAAGCUUCAGAUGUAAGUAAAUAUGGCUACUAUAGAAAAAAAAUCUGAUGUGUGCACCACAUGAUUUCUUUGUACGGAAUCCUAUUCUAACCUCCUUGGUUACAGCACCCUCUGUAGGCGUUUUGCAGCAUGGGGUAACUUUUUGCAGCAAGAGGUGAAAAGUGUCUGCUAAAUAAGCUAGCAUCUGCACCCACGUUUGAUCCUCAAAACAUUUAGUAAAAUCUCGUUUGAAGGUGCUGAGGACAAUGAUCCUCUCAGCUGCUUUGAAGAAGUAACAGAAGAAAGAAUAGUGAUAGAUGAAGAAUCUUUGAACUCAAAGACUAGCUUACAGUUUUUCUAAAGAAAACUCACCAAAUCCAAAACGAAAUUCAAUGGCCUCUUCAUUUGUGGAUUACUUGUUGGAUUUUGCAGUUGGGCAGGAAAAGCUGUCACACCGUGAAGAAGAG